GGCAGAUUAGAGUGAGCCAAACCAGGAAUGAGAGUUCUCACAGUCACUACUGGACCCAGGGACAGAUUAAGGUACUGGGAAUGGAACCUGGGCCUUGGCACAUAUGAGAUUCCAAUACUUGGUUACUAUCCCUGUGAUUCAAUACGAUGCUGUGGGUGUAGCUCAGUGCGGAACAUUCGCCAACAUGCACAAGGCUCUGGGGUUGAGAAGAAAGGAAAAAGGGAGCAAGAAAUUCAAGCUGAGAUGUAGGUGACUUGGUGGUACUCUGUUGGCCAGAAGGCUAAGGGUCCUGAUUGGAGCUUGCAGAGAGAGGCCUCAACCAAAUCUGUCCACGUCACUCAUCUGCCUGUUACAGCUACAGGCUGACCCCUGUAGUUGGGGGUGCAGUGGAGGAAGGUGGGUCUGGCUAUUAUCAGAAUGUGGUGAGGACAGGGUAGUAGUGUACCCCAAUUGGGUAGAGAAGGACAAACUUGUCAAAACACAAGAAAAAAACUGAUGUGCUAAGAAGAGAUGCCACUGGGUUUACAAUGAAGCAUCACAGAAAGCCUUGUGGGCAGGAACAGUGUCAUCGAAGGACUAGAAGAAGGUCUAACUGCAAGCCGCGUACCACAGCCAAGAAAUGCGGGGUAGACAGUGGUGAACAGUACUCCAGAAAGGUAAAUGAAACAUUGGCC
rnacentral:lncRNA from 1 species